AUGGGGAACGUGUUGGAGUCGCUGGUGUCGGGCUUCACCAAGGUCCUCGCCGACCUCCUCUCCAAGCCCAUCCACUUCCUCUCCGGCAAGGCAUGCAGGUCAUUACCUACUUCUACAUUCAUUCAUUCAUUCAUUCAUUCAUUCAUUGAGUUUCCCCUUCUUCUACUGACCGCCAACCUCUCCUCUCCUCGCCGGCCAUGGCAUGGCAGCACGGCCUGCGGCCCGAUGUGGGACGUCUUCUGCUACGUCGACAACUUCUGCGUCGCCAGCCUCGCCAAGACCGCCGCCACGCUCUUCCUCCUCUACCUUGUGCUGCUCUUCUUCUACGUCGUCUGCAAGCUGGGCAUAUGCCGCUGCGUCUGCCAUGUCAUCUCCAAGAUCCUCUGCUCCUGCCUCUCCUGCUCCUCCUCCGCCUGCAAGCACGGGUGCGCGCGCCUCUGCAACAAGAUGAGGAGCAUCAAGCGCCAACGGCAGAGGCGACCGAGAAGAAGGCGCCCACGCCAUGACAACGACAUUGAACAAGGGCACUUCAGCCAGAGCGACAGCGACUCCCCAGAGGACACCACCACCACCACUUGGCAUAGGCACGGCGAGUCUGAAAGAUCGUCAAUGUCAAGGAGGAGGGUCUAUCUGGAGAGGUCCCUGAGGCCCAGGAACCACCGGGUCACCGUCGGCGCCAGCCGUCACUCCGACAUCAGCAUCAAGGAGGGGAAGGAGCCCAGGGUGAACCACAGGCAUGAUGGGAGUGACCAUGGCAUCAAGGUGACCCACACCUCGCGGUUCGCGCGCAAGGCCAGUGGCAAGAUAAGAAACAGCAGAGCAUAG
rnacentral:rRNA from 1 species